GUCAUGCAACGUGUCUUUGCUCCUCCUUCACCUUCCGCCAUGAUUGUGAGGCUUCCCCAGCCAUGUGGAAACAUAUUCGCAGAGCACCCACUAGGUGCCAGUAAAUGUAUGAGAAGUCCUGUGGAAUAAGACUGAAGUUGUCCUUGCCUUCAAGCAACUUGCAAUUGCCUAAGAACACAGUUUAAAACCACAAAACUAAGCCUUGGAAAUCACAUGCUGUCAUUUCUGCGAUCGGUCAUAACCAGUCCUGAUUCCAUGUUAGAGGAGACUACAUAAGGACACAGGUACCAGAAGAUGAAAAAUUUGGAGUCUAGUGAAAAGAAGUGACUUGCUCAAAAUCACACAGCACAUGAAGAACAGAGCCUCUAUGAUGAAUUUCUUGACAGCUGAUAUAAGUCUUUUGAGGUACAGCCUGGCACAAAAAGGAUGAGAUUUGUGGGCAGAAUUUUGGAAGAAUAUCUCCCGAGAGAACAUUCAGGACAGAUUGCACUGCUUUGGAGAGCUGGUGAUGAAAUCCGGCCAUUGAAUUACACUGCACUAUAAACUUCAUUUGUUCUUGGGUGCAUAGUGAUUUGCUAUAAUAAUGAUCAUCCAUUUGCCAGACAGCUGAGAUUUUUUAAAAGCUUGAUUGCUUUUGGCAUGGCAUUAUUAGUCCUGGAAGAAGGCAGCACAUUUGUAGCAAUUCUCAGCUUGAGCAAACUAGAAUAUUCACCUCCCACAAAUGCUGGCCAUUUAAGAUCUGUGUGUUAGACUUUGGCAUUUUUUCUAGCAAUUCUACAACAGCAUACACACUUUUAUUUUUCAUUAACACCAUUGUGAAUAUGCCCAUCUCUAAAAUUUCAAGGGGGUUCACUUAAGCUACUGAGUUUUAUGGACAGAAGGGCCAAGAAAAGUCCCCAAAGAAGAGUGCAUGCUGUCAAUUGCCAAUUAUUUUUUUUUCUAAUGAAAGCCAAACAAUUCCAGACAAACCCUUUUCUAAGAAAUGAACUACAUAUCUGGAUCCAAAUAAAUACUCAUCUGAUAAGAAUCUAAAAGCUCUACUGAAUUACAGUGGAUGAGAACAUGAUGAUGGUGAUUCUUUGAAGAUUACUGAGGAAAUCAACUCUCAUGUCUGAUUCUGAUACUUUUAUAGUCCAUCCAUGUUGAAAAUGUCUAUGGAAUGAUUCUGUUGUACCUUGAGAAAUGAAAUUCAUAGGCAUGGAUUCUCUCACACAGCAACUUUAUACACAAAGAUGAGAAUAGAAGAAAGGUCAUUUCCAAAGAAAGUGACAUUUAUUCUGUAUUCACUGAAAAGCCAAAAGAAUUUUCUCAUUCACCCAUACCGACAGAGCCCUACAUCUCCCCGAGAAGAGGUGAAAGAGACUGCUCCUAUCUGCUUCUGCAUCAAACUUCAGGCUCAAGACCUGUCCAGAAAAAAAAAUGUCUUCUUUCAGGGAUGAACUGCUGUCCUCAUCAGACGCCUUAUUUUGUUUAGAAUUCAAGCUCACUUGACAGGUUAUUGUGAAGAUUAAAUGAAUUAAUACAUGUGAAGCAACUGUAACAACUCUUGACAUGCGUGGGCUGGACUUCCAGAAGAAACGUUGUCAGAACUCUGCCCAACUGAAAACAAGCCUACUAAAAAUAAAUAAAUAAAUAAAAUUUUAAAAAAUUGAUUAAUUAAAA
rnacentral:lncRNA from 1 species